rnacentral:rRNA from 1 species
AGCGAACGCUGGCGGCAGGCCUAAUACAUGCAAGUCGAACGGCUCUUCGGAGCAGUGGCGGACGGGUGAGUAACGCGUGGGAAUGUGCCCUUUGGUACGGAACAACACAGGGAAACUUGUGCUAAUACCGUAUGUGCCCUUCGGGGGAAAGAUUUAUUGCCAUUGGAGCAGCCCGCGUUGGAUUAGCUAGUUGGUGGGGUAAAGGCUCACCAAGGCUACGAUCCAUAGCUGGUCUGAGAGGAUGAUCAGCCACACUGGGACUGAGACACGGCCCAGACUCCUACGGGAGGCAGCAGUAGGGAAUCUUGCGCAAUGGGCGAAAGCCUGACGCAGCCAUGCCGCGUGAAUGAUGAAGGUCUUAGGAUUGUAAAAUUCUUUCACCGGGGAAGAUAAUGACGGUACCCGGAGAAGAAGCCCCGGCUAACUUCGUGCCAGCCGCCGCAGUAAAAC